ACAUGUUCGGGAUUCUUGCUGCUAACGAAUGCUCUGACUUUAUUGCACUACUGUACUUUACAGCUAGCAGUGCAAUAGUAUUGUCAAAGCAUCUGAAAGCAGAGUUCACAGCAAUGCCUU
rnacentral:pre_miRNA from 14 species